rnacentral:rRNA from 1 species
AGUGAACGCUGGCGGUAGGCCUAACACAUGCCAGUCGAACGGCAGCACAGUAAGAGCUUGCUCUUACGGGUGGCGAGUGGCGGACGGGUGAGGAAUACAUCGGUAUCUACUUUUUCGUGGGGGAUAACGUAGGGAAACUUACGCUAAUACCGCAUACGACCUACGGGUGAAAGCAGGGGAUCUUCGGACCUUGCGCGAUUGAAUGAGCCGAUGUCGGAUUAGCUAGUUGGCGGGGUAAAGGCCCACCAAGGCGACGAUCCGUAGCUGGUCUGAGAGGAUGAUCAGCCACACUGGAACUGAGACACGGUCCAGACUCCUACGGGAGGCAGCAGUGGGGAAUAUUGGACAAUGGGCGCAAGCCUGAUCCAGCCAUACCGCGUGGGUGAAGAAGGCCUUCGGGUUGUAAAGCCCUUUUGUUGGGAAAGAAAAGCAGCAGGUUAAUACCCCGCUGUUCUGACGGUACCCAAAGAAUAAGCACCGGCUAACUUCGUG